AGGAGCAGCAGCNCGCAAAUUACCCACUCCCGGCACGGGGAGGUAGUGACGAAAAAUAACGAUACGGGACUCAUCCGAGGCCCCGUAAUCGGAAUGAGAACACUUUAAACCUGUAUACGAGUAUCCAUUGGAGGGCAAGUCUGGUGCCAGCAGCCGCGGUAAUUCCAGCUCCAAUAGCGUAUAUUAAAGUUGUUGCGGUUAAAAAGCUCGUAGUUGGACUUGUGUCCCACGCUGUCGGUUCACCGUUCGUCGGUGUUUAACUGGCAUGCUGUGAGGACGUCCUGCCGGUGGAUGCGGUCGGCCGUGGGCCCUUGUGGUCUGCGUGUCGGCGGUCCGAUGGAAUCCUACCGCGGUGCUCUUAACCGAGUGUCGAGGUGGGCCGGCACAUUUACUUUGAACAAAUUAGAGUGCUCAAAGCAGGCAGUGGCUCGCCUGAAUAUUGUGUGCAUGGAAUAAUGGAAUAGGACCUCGGUUCUAUUUUGUUGGUUUUCGGAACUUGAGGAAAUGAUUAAUAGGGACAGACGGAGGCAUUCGUACUGUGACGUUAGAGGUGAAAUUCUUGGAUCGUCGCAGGACGAACCUAAGCGAAAGCAUUUGCCAUGAAUGUUUUCAUUAAUCAAGAACGAAAGUUAGAGGAUCGAAGGCGAUCAGAUACCGCCCUAGUUCUAACCAUAAACGAUGCCAGCCAGCGAUCCGCCGAAGUUCCUCAUGUGACUCGGCGGGCAGCUUCCGGGAAACCAAAGCUUUUGGGUUCCGGGGGAAGUAUGGUUGCAAAGCUGAAACUUAAAGGAAUUGACGGAAGGGCACCACCAGGAGUGGAGCCUGCGGCUUAAUUUGACUCAACACGGGAAACCUCACCAGGCCCGGACACCGGAAGGAUUGACAGAUUGAGAGCUCUUUCUUGAUUCGGUGGGUGGUGGUGCAUGGCCGUUCUU
rnacentral:rRNA from 1 species